UACGUAGGGGGCAAGCGUUGUCCGGAAUCAUUGGGCGUAAAGCGCACGUAGGCGGCUUUGUAAGUUAGAGGUGAAAGCCCGGGGCUCAACCCCGGAAUUGCCUUUAAGACUGCAUCGCUUGAAUCCAGGAGAGGUGAGUGGAAUUCCGAGUGUAGAGGUGAAAUUCGUAGAUAUUCGGAAGAACACCAGUGGCGAAAGCGACUUCCUGGACCAGUACCGACGUUCAGGCACGAAAGCGUGGGGAGCAAACAGG
rnacentral:rRNA from 1 species